rnacentral:rRNA from 1 species
UGGGGAAUAUUGGACAAUGGGCGAAAGCCUGAUCCAGCCAUGCCGCGUGUGUGAAGAAGGCCUUUUGGUUGUAAAGCACUUUAAGCGAGGAGGAGGCUACUAGUACUAAUACUACUGGAUAGUGGACGUUACUCGCAGAAUAAGCACCGGCUAACUCUGUGCCAGCAGCCGCGGUAAUACAGAGGGUGCGAGCGUUAAUCGGAUUUACUGGGCGUAAAGCGCGCGUAGGUGGUUCGUUAAGUUGAAUGUGAAAGCCCCGGGCUCAACCUGGGAACUGCAUCCAAAACUGGCGAGCUAGAGUAGGGCAGAGGGUGGUGGAAUUUCCUGUGUAGCGGUGAAAUGCGUAGAUAUAGGAAGGAACACCAGUGGCGAAGGCGACCACCUGGGCUCAUACUGACACUGAGGUGCGAAAGCGUGGGGAGCAAACAGG